rnacentral:lncRNA from 1 species
AUGCUCAGCUCCUCCUGGUUCAGGAUCUGCUGCCAAUCUGGACCUCGCAAACUGGUUCUCACACAGCUCCCGCCUAGCGCCUCCCUCUCAGCAUUUAUUGUCCCUCCUCAGCCACCGAGCCCCAGCCCCGCUCCCAUGCCACCGCCCCGGGUGCCCCUCGCUCCUUCGGGCGCUUCUGUCCCGAGCCCAGCCACCAAGUUUGCCGGGGCAAGAUUUAUUCCUGGCGAAUUCCCCGGGGGCCGGCAGCUGGAGGAGCCCGGCACGGCCCCACCGCCUGCAGCGGAGCAGCCUCCCUCUCUCCCGCAGCUGAAGAUCUCAUCUCCCUCGCCCAAGGCGCUCCUCCGUCCUCCUCCAGAUAUUUUAGGCCCAGGUUUUGCGAGGAAUUUACAGGCGCCGAGCCCAAGCCGAUGCGCUGAAGUCAGCAGGAGGCGAGGAGCGUGCGCAGGGCUCGGGGCCCCGGGGGCGGCGGCGCGGGGAAGGGAUGCUGCUCCCGCCGCCUGGAGCUCGUUUCGCCGCGGGAAGGGCAGAGGUUGGGGCUGGCGGCUGCCAGAUCCGCUCUGCUCUCCCUCCGCCAGGACCGACACCACCUUUCGCCUCUCCCUCAUCUCCCCCGCGUCGUGCCAGGCGAGGCCGUGCCGGCCCUCACGCCUGCACCGGGUCGGUUUUUGGAUAGGGAAGGGGGGUCCCCACGCCCGGGUACCCCCACGGUGCCACAACCCCUACCAGCACCCAUCUGGGGCCCACCUUUGCCGCGCUCCAGCCCCAUCGCCGCACGCUGCCCGUGCCCGUGCCGACCCCUCCUGCUCACGCCUGCUGCCCCCCGUUUCCCCGCAUCGCCCGAGCCCCCCGAACCCCCACCACCUCGACGUUCCCCUGGGGGCUUCGCCCCGGCACGGAGGGAGUCCCCGGCUCUGCGCCUGCCUUUGUCACGGCCCCGCUGGCACGCACCCGUCCUACGUGCUCCGACAGGUGAGCCCCCGGGGCAGCGUUCCUGCCUGGGCCAGUAACUGUCCCCACCGGGCAGCCGGUUCCACCCGGCACGUCCCUCCCUCCUUCCCCUUGCUGCAUCCCGGCCGGCGAGGCGCACGGGGAAAAAGGGGGGGGGCCGGCGGAUUUAAUGAGCUCCCCGGAGGCAUCACCGCGCGCCCCCCUCCCGCGCCCGGCGAGCGUGGCUCUGAAACACAACCCUCGGUGGCAGGGCUGGAAAAAAAAAACCAACAAAAAAAAAAAACCACAGGGCACAUCGCUCUUCCCCCCCCCUCCUCCUCUCUUCCCCGCCUCCCCCAGCUUUUUUUUGCUCUCCUGCCGAUGCCAAAGACCCAGCCGGGCUCUUGUGCUUUCACUCGCAGCUGCAGCUGCCGAUUUUCGCUGUAA